rfam:Dacryopinax sp. DJM-731 SS1 chromosome Tnknown DACRYscaffold_3, whole genome shotgun sequence.
GGCAAGAUGGCCGAGCGGUCUAAGGCGCGAGACUAAGGAUCUCGUCCGAAAGGGCGUGGGUUCGAAUCCCACUCUUGUCA